GACGAACGCUGGCGGCGUGCCUAAUACAUGCAAGUCGAACGGUCUUUUCUAUGGAAGCUUGCUUCCACUGAGAAGAUAGUGGCGAACGGGUGAGUAACACGUGGGUAACCUGCCCAUAAGAGGGGGAUAACAUCCGGAAACGGGUGCUAAUACCGCAUAGUUUUCUUGAUCGCAUGAUUGAGAAAGGAAAGACGGCCUUUGUGCUGUCGCUUAUGGGUGGCCCCGCGGCGUAUUAGUUAGUUGGUGAGGUAACGGCUCACCAAGACGAUGAUACGUAGCCGACCUGAGAGGGUGAUCGGCCACAUUGGGACUGAGACACGGCCCAAACUCCUACGGGAGGCAGCAGUAGGGAAUCUUCCGCAAUGGACGAAAGUCUGACGGAGCAACGCCGCGUGAGUGAAGAAGGUUUUCGGAUCGUAAAACUCUGUUGUCAGAGAAGAACAAGUCGGAGAGUAACUGCUCCGGCCUUGACGGUAUCUGACCAGAAAGCCACGGCUAACUACGUGCCAGCCGCCGCAGUAAGAC
rnacentral:rRNA from 1 species